rnacentral:piRNA from 1 species
UAGUAACAUUUGGGUGGUUAGGAUGG